AAUGAACGCUGGCGGCGUGCCUAACACAUGCAAGUCGAACGAGAAAGCUCUUCGGAGUGAGUAAAGUGGCGAACGGGUGAGUAACACGUAAGAAUCUACCCUUUAGUGGAGAAUACCUUCGAGAAAUCGAAGUUAAUACUGCAUAAGCCCUGCGGGGGAAAAACGGCCUCUUUGCCGUUGCUGAAGGAUGAGCUUGCGGACUAUUAGCUAGUUGGUGGGGUAAAGGCCUACCAAGGCGAUGAUGGUUAGCCGGCCUGAGAGGGUGUACGGCCACAUUGGGACUGGGACACGGCCCAGACUCCUACGGGAGGCAGCAGUGGGGAAUAUUGCACAAUGGGCGAAAGCCUGAUGCAGCGACGCCGCGUGGAGGAUGAAGGUCUUCGGAUUGUAAACUCCUGUUAAGAGGGAAGAAAAGCUUGCGAGUAAUAUGCGCAAGUGGUGACGGUACCUCUAGAGAAAGCCCCGGCUAACUUCGUGCCAGCCGCCGCAGUAAAAC
rnacentral:rRNA from 1 species